rnacentral:rRNA from 1 species
CCUCCUACGGGGGGCAGCAGUGAGGAAUAUUGGUCAAUGGGCGCAAGCCUGAACCAGCCAAGUCGCGUGAGGGAUGACGGUCCUAUGGAUUGUAAACCUCUUUUGUCGGGGAGCAAGGCCCGCCACGUGUGGCGGGAAGGAGAGUACCCGAAGAAAAAGCAUCGGCUAACUCCGUGCCAGCAGCCGCGGGAAUAAGGAGGAUGCGAGCGUUAUCCGGAAUUAUUGGGGUUAAAGGGGGCGUAGGCGGAAGGUUAAGUCAGCGGUCAAAUGUCGGUGCUCAACAACGGCCUGCCGUUGAAACUGGG